rnacentral:rRNA from 1 species
CCUACGGGUGGCUGCAGUGGGGAAUAUUGCACAAUGGGGGGAACCCUGAUGCAGCGACGCCGCGUGGGUGAAGGAGUACUUCGGUACGUAAAGCCCUAUCAGCAGGAAAGAAAAUGACGGUACCUGACUAAGAAGCACCGGCUAACUACGUGCCAGCAGCCGCGGUAAUAUGUAGGGGGCAAGCGUGAUCCGGAUUUACUGGGGGGAAAGGGAGCGUAGAUGGCAGUGCAAGUCCGCAGUGAAAGCCCGGGGCUCAACGCUGGGACUGCACGGGAAACAGUAGUGCUGGAGGGCGGGAGGGGCAGACGGAAUGCGUGGUGUAGCGGUGAAAUGCGUAGAUAUCAGGAGG